rnacentral:misc_RNA from 1 species
GUGAAUCAUCGAAUCUUUGAACGCAAAUUGCACUCUCUUCGGAGCGUAUGCCUGUUUGAGGGUCAGUAUCAAUAAUACUCGGAGUGUUGCUUCUUUGUGACGCCCCGGAGUUUGUGUCAUCUUAAUACCCUUUAGGUUUUAAGAGACUUAAUAUUGACUUUUUUUGCGCAUUCUAGUUGUACAUAAAUUCUUUCUUUAUUCGUCUGUCUUAAUGCUCAAAAUCCUAUUAGAUUCGACCAUAUCGUGUGUUG